UACGUAGGGGGCAAGCGUUGUCCGGAUUUAUUGGGCGUAAAGAGCGUGUGGGCGGCCAGAUAAGUCCGCUGUGAAAUCUCGAGGCUCAACUUCGAGCUGUCGGUGGAAACUGUCUGGCUAGAGUCCGGAAGAGGAGAAUGGAAUUCCUGGUGUAGCGGUGAAAUGCGCAGAUAUCAGGAAGAACACCCGUGGCGAAGGCGGUUCUCUGGGACGGUACUGACGCUGAGACGCGAAAGCGUGGGGAGCGAACAGG
rnacentral:rRNA from 1 species